rnacentral:lncRNA from 1 species
UCAGCCUGUGACUACAGUGAUUCCACCAUCCCAGAAGUGACUGCUGCUCUGCUCUGGGCUCUCGGUACCUGCCAGUGCCAGGAGUGCUCUCAUGGCACUUGUGGUGUCAAUCAUCUGUAUGCCUGUGCAUUUGAAUCAGAACACAGAUGUUCAGAUACUCUUCUGAGUAUUCAAUCAGGUAAAUUUAGGACACUCUCAUCACAAAACACAAAUAUUUGUGAUUCUCCGGUACAUCUACUCUUUUGAGUUAGGCC